AUGUCGAUGCGCCGCCUCGGCGCUUCGGAUUUUCACGGAGUCCGCGAGCGCACCUCCGUCGCCUUCUCCGCCGAGUACUUGUUUGGCGAGAAACGCCCCAUCCUCGGCACCUUCGACACCGCAGAGGAGGCGGCCCGCGCGCACGACGCGGCGGCGUGGUGCCUCCGGCGGCCUAGUCGGGAGAUGAAUUUUCCCGACGUGUCGAGCCGGCGGGCGCAGGAUCUCGCGCCUCUCCCGCAGGUUUUCACCGACGAGGAUCGUCGCGUCCACCGGAGGCGGCAGCGUCGCCUCGCCAUCGCCGAGAUGGAUGUAGAAGCCUUGGUGGUGUGGCGUGAACGCUUCCCGCACGACACCGUCGACGAGCGCAAAUUCUACGAGCAAAGGAGGACGGAGAAGGAGGCGAGGAGGACGGAGCGAGCCGCCUAUCGGGAGGACAAGCGUGCGCGGAAGCAGGCCGCUCAAUUGAGGCUGAAGCUGCGAGAAACGUCGGGGUGGGACUUCGAGAACGAGUAG
rnacentral:rRNA from 1 species